rnacentral:rRNA from 1 species
AUGGACACCCUGCCUAGCCUGGAGACGCUCGAGAUCGUGUGCUGUGGUGAUCUGAAAGAAGUCUUCCCUUUGGACCCUAAGCGCCGACAGAAGCGGGAAAUUAUAAGAUUUCCCAAGCUAAGGCACAUCCACCUGUACCAGCUCUCCACUCUACAGGGCAUAUGUGGGAGCAGGAUGUCCGCGCCCAACCUUGAGAUCGUCAAGGUCAGAGGUUGCUGGGGCCUUAGCCGCCUGCCGGUCGUCAGCGGUAGCACCAGCAAGCGGCCCAAGGUGGACUGUGAGAAGGACUGGUGGGACAACCUGAAGUGGGACGGUCUGGAGGCGAACCAUGACCCUUCGCUCUAUGAACCACGCCACUCGUGA